UUCUUAUCAAGAGCGGCAGAGGGACUGGCCCGAUGAAGCCCGGCAACCCCAUUACCUUUAUUAAAAGGGAGGAAGGUGCCAAAUCCAGCAGGAUAGUAUAAGCCUGAGAGAUAAGAA
rfam:Aneurinibacillus migulanus strain DSM 2895 scaffold5, whole genome shotgun sequence.